GACUGACUGACUGAGAGACUGACUGACUGAGACUGACUGACUGACUGACUGAGACUGACAGACUGACUGACUGACUGAGAGACUGACUGACUGAGAGACUGACUGACUGACUGACUGACUGACUGAGAGACUGACUGAGAUUGACUGACUGAGACUGACUGACUGACUGAUAUACUGACUGAUAGACUGACUGACUGACUGAUAUACUGACUGAUAGACAGACUGACUGACUGAGAGACUGACUGACUGAGACUGACUGACUGACUGAGAGACUGACUGACUGACUG